rnacentral:rRNA from 1 species
AACGCUGGCGGCAUGCCUAACACAUGCAAGUCGAACGGCAGCACAGCAGUAGCAAUACUGUGGGUGGCGAGUGGCGGACGGGUGAGGAACACAUCGGAAUUUGCCCAGUCGUGGGGGAUAACGUAGGGAAACUUACGCUAAUACCGCAUACGACCUAACGGUGAAAGCGGGGGAUCGCAAGACCUCGCGCGGAUGGAUAAGCCGAUGUCGGAUUAGUUAGUUGGUAAGGUAACGGCUUACCAAGACAAUGAUGGGUAGGGGUCCUGAGAGGGAGAUCCCCCACACUGGUACUGAGACACGGACCAGACUCCUACGGGAGGCGGCAGUGAGGAAUAUUGGUCAAUGGGCGCAAGCCUGAACCAGCCAUGCCGCGUGCAGGAAGACGGUCCUAUGGAUUGUAAACUGCUUUUAUACAGGAAGAAACCCUCCCACGUGUGGGAGCUUGACGGUACUGUAGGAAUAAGGAUCGGCUAACUCCGUG